AAGUCGUAACAAGGUUUCCGUAGGUGAACCUGCGGAAGGAUCAUUACCAAUAUGAAAGCGAAUGGGGAACCACAGCAACAUGGGCUUCGGCCUGCGUUGUCUGCCCCAUUCUGCUGAAUUAUUCACCCAUGUCUUUUGCGUACUAUUUGUUUCCUUGGUGGGCUUGCCUGCCAAUAGGACAAAAUUAAACCUUUUGUAAUUGCAAUCAGCGUCAGAAAACUUUAAUAGUUACAACUUUCAACAACGGAUCUCUUGGUUCUG
rnacentral:misc_RNA from 1 species